UUAAUUUCAAUUUUAUUUUAUUUUUCUCAACUAACAAAUUGGACUAAAUUGAAUGGAUAUAUACAGCAAAUAAACAAAUUGAAUCAAAUUCUAGGGUUUCUCUGUCACAACUCUCUCUCAAAUUGGACCAAAUCGUUCCUUUGAUUUUGUACCAUCAGUUGUCGUUCUCAUAUUCCGUUCAAAGCAGACGCCGCCGGCCAUAGAAAACACCAUCGGUGGACCAGCUAACGCAGCAGCAGCCAAAGGCGUCGUUUCUCAACAGCAACGCAGCAGCAGCCAACAGCGACAAACUGUCUCUCUCUCACACAUUAAUCCGGAUCUACUAAUGCGAAAGAAGGUACGAUUUAUGAAACUUUAUAUCAGCUAAAUGCGUAUUUCGUCCUUAUUUUUUCCGCUAAUUUUGUAAAUUGUGAGUUGAAAUAUGCCCUAUGCUUGGUGAAUUGAGAUUUUGAUGUCAAAUUUGUGCAUUAAAUAACGUCUAUGGACAUAUUUUCUACUAAUUCCCGGUGUUAUUCCUUUUCUUGGACAUACACCUUAGUUUUAUGUAAAGUUGAAGAAAGAAAAUCAAUGUUCCGAGUGCUUAGUUCAAUGGAGUAAGACUAAGUCUGGUGUUUAAGUGGAGAAAGGUGCUUAUUGCUCAUACUAACAUUUGUAGUAUUUUUUUUUAUCAGCUAUUUUGUAAUAUCAAUCUGGAACCUCCCUUUUCUAAUUUUCAUUUGCUCUUUUGGUUACUAUAUUUGAUCUCUUGAUGAGCAAGAGGCUUGUAAGUUAGAAGAGUUCAACACCAUGAUAAAUUAAGUAUAGUGACUUGAAAUGUGAGUUAGUUACUUGAAAUGGACUUCUUGAAGGCGGAGAUAUCCUGACAUGCUGGUAAUUUGCUUGGCAGUGUUGUUGCUAAUUGGAUCAUAUUUCUUGGUGGGGAGAAGCUAAAUCAUCUUUUUUUGUCACUGUCUUAUACUUUGCUCUGUUAUUGGGAUAGUGCAACCUUGGAAAUUUUGUGCACUGAGCUGCAGAUAGGUGUCGUUUCAAGAAACUUUGGGGGUUAUCUAGCCAUACUUGAUUGUAACAGGUUACUAGAACUUUAGGUACUGGAUUUACCAUAUUCAAUCAAACUUGUUUAUGCUUGUCUUGUUGAUCAUGUAUUCAGUUCCUUCUUUGGCUUGGAUUUUUUUGGGUUUUAGGUGGUGAAUUCUAUUUAGCAAUUAGAAGUAUGAUUGGAUUCAAUCAGAUCUCAAGUGUUUGUGCACAUCAUUGAAUAUUAAAUAGGAAAUAACAUUAUCAAACAAUUUCCCAGUUUUUGUUUCAAGGUUGAAGUUAGUUGACUUUUCCACUACUUGGCAUAGGUGUCCCACAUGAUCUUUAAUUCUCAAGCACCUUCCAAUUUUAAGGCCAGGUUCAUUCCUCUUUGAACCAAGCUGUUCAACGUAGACAUCAAGUUGUGGGUACAGGCAAUCACACAAUGAAAUGUGUCAUGUAUGAAUUAUGCAGUGAUAAUGUGGAUCUUUUUCAUAUUGACUUUCUCCAUAAAAAUAUGACGGACAUUGACACUUUUGGAGCUGGUUUAGUAGGCAAUUUUAUUAGCCUCAGUCUAUUUCCCUGGUGGGAGGGUAUGAAGGUAUAAAGGUAUGGAGAACGCGAAUUAGGCUUGGAAGGAAUAGCUAAGGAUAGUGACUUGAAAUGCCAAUUAGAGACUUGAAAAUGGUUAAGCGUAGUUACUUGAAAUGUGAAUUAGUGACUAGAAAAUGAUUAAGUCUAGUUACUUUGAAUGUGAAUUAGUUACUGGAGAAUGACUAAGGUUAGUGACUUGAAAUAUGUAUUAGUGACUUGAAAAUGGUUGAGUAUAGUUACUUGAAAUGUGAAUUAGUGACUAGAAAAUGGUUAAGUCUAGUUACUUGAGAUGUGUAUUAGUGAGUUAAAAAUGGUUUAGUGUAGUGACUUAAAAAUGUGAAUUAAUUACUUGAAAUGUGUACUAGUGAGUUUGAAAAUGAUUAAGUGUAGUGACUUGAAAUGUGAAUUAGUUACUUGAAAUGUGUACUAGUGAGUUUAAAAUAUUUAGUUUAGCGACUUAAAAUGUGAAUUAGUUACUUGAAAUGUGUACUAGUGAGUUGAAAAUGAUUAAGUAUAGUGACUUGAAAUGUGAAUUACUUACUUGAAAGUGGUUAAGUAUAGUGACUUAAAAUGUGAAUUAGUUACUUGAGAAUGGCAAAGGAUAGUGACUUGAAAUGUGAAUUAGUGACAUAAAAAUGGAUAAGCAUAGUUACUUGAAAUGUGAAAUAGUGACCAGAAAAUGAUUAAGUCUAGUUACUUGGAAUGUGAAUUAGUUACUUGAGAAUGGCUAAGGAUAGUGACUUGAAAUAUGAAUUAGUGACUUGAAAAUAGUUAAGCAUAGUUACUUGAAAUGUGAAUUAAUGACUAGAAAAUGAUUAAGUGUAGUUACUUUAGAUGUGUAUUAGUGAGUUAAAAAUGGUUAAGUAUAGUGACUUACAAAUGUGAAUUAUUUACUUGAAACGUGUACUAGUGAGUUGAAAAUGAUUAAGUGUGUGACUUGAAAUGUGAAUUAUUUACUUGAAACGUGUACUAGUGAGUUGAAAAUGAUUAAGUGUAGUGACUUGAAAUGUGAAUUAGUUACUUGAAAUGUGUACUAGUGUGUUGAAGAUGAUUAAGUGUAGUGACUUGAAAUGUGUACUAGUGAGUUGAAAAUGAUUAAAGUGACUCGAAAUGUGAAUUACUUACUUGAAAGUGGUUAAGUAUAGUGACUUGAAAUGUGAAUUAGUUACUUGAGAAUGACAAAGGAUAAUGACUUGAAAUGUGAAUUAAUGACUUGAAAAUGGUUAGGCAUAGUUACUUGAAAUGUGAAAUAGUGACUAGAAAAGAUUACGUCUAGUUACUUGAAAUGUGAAUUAGUUACUUGAGAAUGACCAAGGAUAGUGACUUGAAAUGUGAAUUAGUGACUUGAAAAUAGUUAAGCAUAGUUACUUGAAAUGUGAAUUAGUGACUAAAAAAUGAUUAAGUGUAGUUACGUUAGAUGUGUAUUAGUGAGUUCAAAAUGGUUAAGUGUAGUGACUUAAAAAUGUGAAUAAGUUCCUUGAAAUGUGGACUAAUGAGUUGAAAAUGAUUAAGUGUAGCGACUUGAAAUGUGAAUUAGUUACUUGAAAUGUGUACCAGUGAGUUGAAUAUGAUUAAGUAUAGCGACUUGAAAUGUGAAUUACUUAUUUGAAAGUGGUUAAGUAUAGUGACUUGAAAUGUGAAUUAGUUACUAGAAAAUGGUAAAGUGUAGUAACUUGAAAAUGUGAACUUGUGUUUUGAAAAUAGUUAAGUGUAGUCACUUGAAAUGUGAAUUUGUGACUUGAAAAUGAUUGAGUGUAAUCACUUGAAAUGUGUAUUAAUGAGUUGAAAAUAAUCAAGUAUAGUGAGUUGAAAUGUGAAUUAGUUACUUGAAAGUGUUUAAGUGUAGUGUUUUAAAAUGUGAAUUUGUCACUUGAAAAUGUGAACUUGUGUUUUGACAAUGGUUAAGUGUGAUCACUUGAAUAGUGAACUAAUGACUUGAGAAUGUGAAUUUGUGACUUAAAAAUGGUUAAGUUUCCUCUCGUACACAACAAUGAGUCUUCAAUGAGUUUAUGAUAUGUAUACUUCGGAACGAUAUCUUUAACAUUUUUCAUAUUACCAUGUGCUACUUCAGUUUUGCUAAUUGAAUUAUGUCUUAACAUUUUACCCAAUUUGUAGCUCUUUAAGUUUAACAGUUUAUUGUGAUUUUGUGUUUUGAAUGGUGCUUUCAGUAAGGGUUAUAUCUUGUAACGUUAAUAGUUUAGCUGAUUCCACGUUAAUUUGGUGCAGUGAGGUAGUUUAUUCUGUUCUUAAAACAUUUUUAGGAUUAUUGCUGAGCGUUACUUGUUUAAACAAGUUUUUGUUUAUUUUUCUUCCUUUUAUAUUCUGGUUGAGUUGAUGUUACGAUUCUGUUUUUCUAUUUUUUGGUUCUAGCCGUGGGAUGCUAUUGUCCUUAUAAUACAAUUGAGAGUUGACAAAGCCAGCAAUAUUCUUUUGGACUCUGAACUCAAUUCCAAAGUUGCUGAUUUAGUAGUACAUCUACAGGGGUUGUCUAUCACAACAGAUUCUUGAGGAAUAUAAUGAAACUAGAAGCUGUUAGGUGGAAUUAUUACACACUGAUAUACAACAAACAUUAAGCACAAAGUGAACCUUUUUUAUAAUGGCACUAGCGUACAUGUUCACAACUAUUAACCAACGUCAUAAAUGAGCCUUUCUCAAAGUUUGAUGGCAUAUUUGCGUGUCUUUCCUUUCUCAAAAAUGAAUUUGGUGAUGAGUGAGCAAUAUUUGUUUUUUUUUGGGGGGGGGGGGGGGGUGGGGUAAUAAUUACCAUUAAUAAUCAUAAUUUACACCUAUAGAGCACUUUAGGAAGAUAGGCCACAUUCUAGGAAGGGUACCCCCUCCUCUAAAGCCUUAAACCAAGAAACACAACUAUUAAAACAUUCUGAACGAGGUAUUUGCACAUACUAGCUUUCCAAUGCUCCACUCUUUCUACCAUCUCUUUCUUUAUUUUUGUGACUGUAACCUCUGUAUUUAUAAGUGUCCCUCUAAACAACUUCCUAUUUCUUGCUUUCCAAGUAUGCCCGACCAAGUCUCAAGUUCUGUCUUCACUCUUUUUGUCCAGCUACACUCUGAGAAUAGAUGUACUUGUGUUUCCGGCACAUUAGCUCCACAUAAUCAACAUUUGUUAUCAUCUACAGGGAUGUGCAACCUGACCAUCCUCUCCUUGGUUAAUAAUAUCUUGAUUAGAUAACCAUACAAUAAACCUGUGUCUUGGUAGCAUGAGUGAACCUCAGAUAAAGUUAGCUGCAUGUAGUCUUGUCUGUUCACCCAAAAGUUGAUUGUAGCUACAGCUUACUGUAUAUACCUUGGAUGAAGAUACGAUUACUAAUAAGGUCACCCCCCGAUACAUUUGAUGAUGAUACAAAUAUGUCUCUGCUUCUAGACAUACAGUAAAUUUAAUUCUCUCUACAAUUACUUGAUAGUAUUUUCCUCCAGUUCCUAAAUUAUUACAAGAGACAAUGUUGUAGAUGUUUUCUGAGAUUACAAUAUGUUGUCAUUAGAAUAUGUGGUUAAGUGUAGUAGCCAAAUAGACUCCACCUUGAGGCGUAUUCCACAAUAAGAUGUUUAGGAAAAGAGAGCAAUUUAAGGCGGUUAAGAGGUUCACUCCAUGUUAUCAUUUCUUUCUUGAAAUUUUUAUUUGAUGUGGCUUACAUAGCCAACUAAGAGUUUUGCAAUUUAUCGUUGCACUCAUUGCAAUUGCAACUUGUGAGGCAGAUGAUCUUUUUUCUUUCACUUUUAGGUUCAAUCUUGACUGGGAAAUCUUGCAAACAGAUUAAGGGCCUUCAAGUCUCCAAACAUGAACUACUGGAACAAGAAACAAGAAAGUCACAAUAGCCAAAAAUACAUGAAAUUUGGAUAACUCCAUUUUUUCUGUACUUUCAAACUCAAGUAGUUUAAAUCUUAUAAUUUAUAUCAUUUAUUGUAUACUAAUAAUUUUACCUUUAACGUAGAAUCGAUAUGUCAAGCAAUUGAAGAGCUAAAAAAAAAACCAACCGAUAGAUGAUCAAGGCAAUCCAAUAGUGCUACUGCUGGCUAAAUGUAGUUGGCGGCGUGUAUAAGGAAAGGGCGUACAACCUUUUCUUCGAAAAGAACUUUCAUGGCCUUCAAUGUGGAUUGCAGGGUAUAGAGGGGUCAGCCACCAUGCCAGAUGAGCAGCUUGAGGAGAUUGCUAGGAUGUACGAGGAGGAACGAAAAAGAAUGAUGAAGGAGGAGCGACGUAGGACGACACUUGAGCCAGACGUCCAAAAACUCAAGGCUCAAGUAAAUACGUUAACCAAGCUUCUUUAUUCUCCUCCCCCUAGCUCGGAUUAUGAUGGUGGAGAGGAUGAAGAUGAUGGAGAGGAUGAAAUGAAGUAUUAGGUGGUGGUGUUAUUUUAGCUUUAGAUACUGUUAGUUUAGAGUGUUUGAAAGAAUUUGUUUUGUUACUUGUUUGAAUACUUUUUUAUACUUGUUUGCAUUUUGUUUUGGUUGGAUGAAUAUGCAUGAAGUUUGGCUGCUUGAUUUAAUGUUUGAAUUCGGAAACAUUUUCUUAUUGUUUUGUUGGUUGGCAUUGGUUAUAUGUUGAUUUUCUAUUGAAAUAUUUAAUUUUGGUGACUAAAA
rnacentral:lncRNA from 1 species